AGCCCAAGUGGCUGUUUUGGUCAAUAGACUUCCCGGACCUGAAGUGUGUUGCUUCUGGGCUGAGGCAGUUACAAGCCAGUGUACUUUGUCCACCCUUUUCGUCGUCUGCUAAGAGGACCUUCGAAGCCAUGUGAACAUAUGCUUGUGAUGACAAAGAAGCAUUACAAGAGGAAGAUAGUCUUGUUUCUUAAGUUAACAAGUAGAAGAGAUUUCCAGUAAUGCAUGUCAGACUUGAUGUGAGCAAGAAAUACGUUUUCCUGCCAAGUCACUGGGAUUUCGGUUGGAGUCAGGAGACAGAGGAGAAGGAGGAAGUCAAGAAAGGGACGCUGAAUAUAUUAAAUCUCUCUCCCAUCACGGGCGUCUGGGGCAGAAAAUGACAGAAUAGGAAGCUCCAAGCUCUUGUUCCCCCCAGGGAGCCAUCAAACAACUAAAAACUGGGCUGAAUUAACCUUACAAGAACUCUGGAUAGAAGGCCUAUGCCAACCAAGUGAACACCCCAUCAAGAAAAAGCCACAUCAUAAAGCUAAGAAGAAGCUCCAACAUGCAGUUGACAGACCAUGCUCUUAGAUUAAGGGAUACUUCAGUUCCCAGACAGAUAUGCCACUAACAGACUGUAUGAGCUCAGCAAAUGGGCUCGGCUGAGACACCGCCCCUCCCCAUUGUAAUAAAAGAUUAACA